rnacentral:snRNA from 2 species
AUACUUACCUGGCGUAGGGAGUGAGGCUCGAUCAUUGCACUUUACGAUUGAGUUGACCUCCGCGAUUAUUCCUAAUGUGAAUAACUCGUGCGUGUAAUUUUUGUUAGCCGGGAAUGGCGUACGCGCCGUCCCGAC